UACGUAGGGGGCGAGCGUUGUCCGGAAUUAUUGGGCGUAAAGAGCGUGUAGGCGGCCGCACAGGUCCGUUGUGAAAACUGGAGGCUUAACCUUCAGACGUCGAUGGAAACCGUGCGGCUAGAGUCCGGAAGAGGAGAAUGGAAUUCCUGGUGUAGCGGUGAAAUGCGCAGAUAUCAGGAAGAACACCCGUGGCUAAGGCGGUUCUCUAGUACGGUACUGACGCUGAGACGCGAAAGCGUGGGGAGCGAACAGG
rnacentral:rRNA from 1 species